rnacentral:rRNA from 1 species
UACAGAGGUCUCAAGCGUUUGUUCGGAUUCAUUGGGCGUAAAGGGUGCGUAGGCUGGCGCGUAAGUCGGGUGUGAAAUUUCGGAGCUUAACUCCGAAACUGCAUUCGAUACUGCGGUGCUUGAGGACUGGAGAGGAGACUGGAAUUAGGUGUAGCAGUGAAAUGCGUAGAGAUCAUGAGGAAGACCAGUGGCGAAGGCGGGUCUCUGGACAGUUCCUGACACUGAGGCACGAAGGCCAGGGGGAGCAAACGGG